CCAGCCCCCGGGCGAGCUGUGCUGCUGUAUUUAAAGAAGUAACACUUUCAGUUUCAUUACUGCUGAUCAUUUUUGCUGAGCUAGAAGAACAGGAACAGAUCAAGCACUAAAUGGAGAUUAACAUGAGCCAGAAAUCUUCUACUACUGUUUUGGUGAAGAAUUCAAUUAAGAAAGUUGUGGAUCCUUUAAAAGAUGGACUCCAGUCCAUCAACAGAGUCUAUGAGGCUCUCAUUGAUGGAGAUGUAGAUUCUUUUAGUGGACAGUGUAGAAAUUA